GAAGGGAUAGCUCAGUGGUAGAGCAUUCGACUGCAGAUCGAGUGGUCCCUAGUUCAAAUCCGGGUGUCUCCUUCU
rnacentral:tRNA from 1 species